rnacentral:lncRNA from 1 species
UCUCAGCCAUAUCUGUGCAAUUCGCUUUCAAAUAUGCAUACCUGCUUUUGUAGGUAAUAAAAUACAAAAAUGUAAACAAAUAACUGAUUUUAUCAUAUUUUUUUCCCACGUAGGCAAUUAAGAGAAUAUAUCUAAGUGUAAUUGCUAUCGUUUGGGACAACAUGAACUCUUCUAUCACUCAGAUUGGAUCCCCAGACUCAGAAAGGUUGAGGCUUGUUCUUCGCUAAAUGGGUAGUGCCUAGCAAUUAACCAAACACUUUAGAAAAUGGGUCCAUCUGUGGGCAUGGGUCUGGGGGAUGGUGUCUGGUCCUGGGUGUGUAAACUGGAGGACAGCUUGAUGUAAUCAAGUCCGUUGUUCUGUUGUGAGGUAUGAUUCAGAGCCCAGGCUUCAUUCUCUUCAUUUGCAUAAUAAAAGAGUCUACUAACAAAUAUGACUUUUAGGGGAUUUUGCCACAGGGAAGUAAGCCGCUUUCUAAAUGGCAUCGUUGCUCAGUGAACACAGGGCUUGAUCCCUGACAGACUCAGGAAACUGCAUCUACAAAAGUCAGCCAACCGUCAUUCCGACCAGUCAAGGAAACAUUUAUUGCGCAUUUAACUCUGAAGUUCAGCAACUCUGUGACCUUAGGUCAAUUACGGAAUAUCCCUAAACCUUAAGUUUCUGCUUCUUUAAAAUGGCGCGAUCAUAGUACAGAGCUCCUGGCAUGGUGUGAGGAUUAAGUGACACGUGGCUGAAACUCUGAGUUAGUGCCUGGGGGCUCUUAGGGUCUGCCCUUACCGCCACCACCUCCGAUACUCUUGGCGCUACCAGCAGGAAAGCAUGAAUUUCUCCCCCUCCUUCCCCUCCUCCACCCCACGCUUCUCUCCCUGGCUCUUUGUCUUCUUUGUCCUUCUCACAGACCCUGUGCUGGGCAAUCAAGUUGAAGAUACGCUGAGGUCCAUGCCGCUCCUCUGGCUGCCAUCCUCCCGAGGGGGAGAGACUGGAGCCUCAAGCACAGGUGUAUGAGACAGAAGGCACUGCUGGCCAGAAAUUCCAGAUCCAUCGGGAGCUUGCAAUGCUUCACCAGCGUCUGGGAAAUGCCCCAGGAUUCCCUGCUGCGUUACCCCGGGAGACUAUUGCGCAAUUCCAGCAGCUGUUCUGGAGGACAAGAAAAAGCAGACAUUCUGAAUGUAUCAUACGUACAAUGUAAUAUUGAAUUGAAGAUCCCUAAUGAACGAGGCCUCUUUCGUUGUGCAGUCUACUUCCAGUGAGGUCUAGUUCUUAAUUUUCAGUGGGCGUAGCAGGAAGUGCUAGUGUAAAAAAUAAAACAUAUAUAUUACUAAUACUGUUGCUAUAU